rnacentral:rRNA from 1 species
UACGUAGGGGCCAAGCGUUGUCCGGAUUUAUUGGGCGUAAAGAGCUCGUAGGCGGUUGGGUAAGUCGGGUGUGAAAACUCCAGGCUCAACUUGGAGAUGCCACCCGAUACUGCUCUGACUUGAGUUCGGUAGGGGAGUGGGGAAUUCCUGGUGUAGCGGUGAAAUGCGCAGAUAUCAGGAGGAACACCGGUGGCGAAGGCGGAUCUCUGGGACGGUACUGACGCUGAGACGCGAAAGCGUGGGGAGCGAACAGG